rnacentral:rRNA from 1 species
UACGUAGGGGGCAAGCGUUGUCCGGAUUUAUUGGGCGUAAAGAGCUCGUAGGUGGUUUGGUAAGUCGGAUGUGAAAUCUCCAGGCUCAACCUGGAGGGGUCAUUCGAUACUGCCAUGACUAGAGGUCGGUAGGGGAGUGUGGAAUUCCUGGUGGAGCGGUGAAAUGCGCAGAUAUCAGGAAGAACACCAACGGCGAAGGCAGCUCGCUGGGACGGUACUGACGCUGAGACGCGAAAGCGUGGGGAGCGAACAGG